GUAGGGAAUAUUGGGCAAUGGGGGCAACCCUGACCCAGCAACGCCGCGUGAAGGAAGAAGGUUUUCGGAUCGUAAACUUCUAUCCUUGGUGAAGAUAAUGACGGUAGCCAAGAAGGAAGCCCCGGCUAACUACGUGCCAGCAGCCGCGGUAAUACGUAGGGGGCAAGCGUUGUCCGGAAUGAUUGGGCGUAAAGGGCGCGUAGGCGGCCUGGUAAGUCUGGAGUGAAAGUCCUGCUUUUAAGGUGGGAAUUGCUUUGGAUACUGUCGGGCUUGAGUGCAGGAGAGGUAAGUGGAAUUCCCGGUGUAGCGGUGAAAUGCGUAGAGAUCGGGAGGAACACCAGUGGCGAAGGCGACUUACUGGACUGUAACUGACGCUGAGGCGCGAAAGUGUGGGGAGCAAACAGGAUUAGAUACCCCAGUAGUCC
rnacentral:rRNA from 1 species